rnacentral:tRNA from 1 species
CGGGGUAUAGCGCAGUUGGUAGCGCGCAUCGUUCGGGACGAUGAGGUCGCCAGUUCGAGUCUGGCUACCCCGA